AGUGUAUGAUAUAAUUUGUAAUCUUGGGUUUCAACUCAGAGAAAAUUGUGAUAUCAAUAGCAUUGUAACUCAGAAUGGUGAAGUAUGCUGGAAAACAAUCACAGACUGUGUGAGCUACACAGAGUCAGUUAUUUCCUGAAAUAUUUGAUGCCUUGGAAAGUCUACAAUCUCCUGCUAUUUCUCUUAGCUUAAUGAAACUGACAUCGUGUCUAGAACGAGCCUUGGGUGAUGUAUUUUUACUGAUUGGGAAGGAAUGCCCCUUUCUUUUAAGAGAUCUGCUUUCAUCUGAGGAGCUUGCUCAAGUCUUCAGUCAGUCUGUGAUGAAUGUGCUAAAAGUCUUCGUUGGCUCUCCGUGUGGUCUCAACCUGCGUAACGUCUUAUGGCAUGGGUUUGCGUCACCUGAAGAAAUUCCUCCAAAAUACUGUUCAAUGAUGAUACUGUUGACGGCAGGAUUGGGUCAGUUACUGAAGAGUUACCUUCAAAACACUAAACUUACAUUGGCAC
rnacentral:lncRNA from 1 species